GCCUGUAGCUAUACUACUGCAAGCUGUGAUCUUGUCUGAUCUCACGUAAGCUAAGCAGAGUUGGUUCUUGUUAGUACUUGAGUAAAAAUUCCAAAGAAAAAUACAACUGUUC
rnacentral:rRNA from 1 species